AUGAACGCUGGCGGCGUGCCUCAUACCUGCAAGUCGAGCGCACAGAUGAGGAGCUUGCUCCUCUGACGUUAGCGGCGGACGGGUGAGUAACACGUGGAUAACCUACCUAUAAGACUGGGAUAACUUCGGGAAACCGGAGCUAAUACCGGAUAAUAUAUUGAACCGCAUGGUUCAAUAGUGAAAGACGGUUUUGCUGUCACUUAUAGAUGGAUCCGCGCCGCAUUAGCUAGUUGGUAAGGUAACGGCUUACCAAGGCGACGAUGCGUAGCCGACCUGAGAGGGUGAUCGGCCACACUGGAACUGAGACACGGUCCAGACUCCUACGGGAGGCAGCAGUAGGGAAUCUUCCGCAAUGGGCGAAAGCCUGACGGAGCAACGCCGCGUGAGUGAUGAAGGUCUUCGGAUCGUAAAACUCUGUUAUUAGGGAAGAACAAAUGUGUAAGUAACUAUGCACGUCUUGACGGUACCUAAUCAGAAAGCCACGGCUAACUACGUG
rnacentral:rRNA from 1 species